ACGCGUGGAACCUUACCAGGUCUUGACAUCCCACUGACCGCUAUGGAGACAUAGUUUUCCCUUUUAGGGACAGUGGUGACAGGUGGUGCAUGGUUGUCGUCAGCUCGUGUCGUGAGAUGUUGGGUUAAGUCCCGCAACGAGCGCAACCCUUGUUCUUAGUUGCCAUCAUUUAGUUGGGCACUCUAAGGAGACUGCCGGUGACAAACCGGAGGAAGGUGGGGAUGACGUCAAAUCAUCAUGCCCCUUAUGACCUGGGCUACACACGUGCUACAAUGGACGGUACAAACGGUUGCCAACCUGCGAGGGGGAGCUAAUCCGAUAAAACCGUUCUCAGUUCGGAUUGUAGGCUGCAACUCGCCUACAUGAAGCCGGAAUCGCUAGUAAUCGCGGAUCAGCAUGCCGCGGUGAAUACGUUCCCGGGCCUUGCACUCACCGCCCGU
rnacentral:rRNA from 1 species